rnacentral:rRNA from 1 species
CCUACGGGCGGCAGCAGUGGGGAAUAUUGCGCAAUGGGCGAAAGCCUGACGCAGCGACGCCGCGUGAGGGAUGAAGGUCUUCGGAUCGUAAACCUCUGUCAGCAGGGAAGAACGGUCACUGUGCUAAUCAGCAUUGAAUUGACGGUACCUGCAAAGGAAGCACCGGCUAACUCCGUGCCAGCAGCCGCGGUAAUACGGAGGGUGCGAGCGUUAAUCGGAAGUACUGGGCGUAAAGCGUUCGUAGGCGGUAUGUCAAGUCAAGGGUGAAAUCCCCGCGCUCAACGUGGGAACUGCCUUUGAAACUGGCAGACUUGAGUGUGUGAGAGGAUAGUGGAAUGCCAGGUGUAGGAGUGAAAUCCGUAGAUAUCUGGAGGAACAUCAGUGGCGAAGGCGACUAUCUGGCACAUAACUGACGCUGAGGAGCGAAAGCGUGGGUAGCAAACAGGAUUAGAUACCCUUGUAGUC